rnacentral:lncRNA from 10 species
CUGACCUCAAGUGAUCUGCCCGCCUCAGCCUCCCAGAGUGCUGGGAUUAUAGGCGUGAGCCACUGUGCCUGGCCUUAAGUUUAUAAUUUCUUAACAUGGUGUUUAAUUAAGCCUAUUCACAAAUAUUCUUAAAUAACACACCAAAAUAAUUUACUUAUACUCUAAUAGGAAAGAUUCUACAUUAGGAUGCAGAAUCUGAAGGAAACAAUCUUCAAUUUCUUGACUUAGACAUUCUUGGUAACAGACCCACACAGUAAUUAGGUAGCACUUAUGUAUUGUGAUAUUACCUGGGGUGUUUAUAAGCUGAUCCUUUAAUAAGCUAGACUAAGUGCAGUAAAUCAGCUCACUCUGCAACCAACCAGUCCCACCUCCUAACUGCUCCUGAACUGCAAAGACCAAAAGCCUCAGAGAAGACAUAUUUCCCAAACUUUCUUGCAGCUAAAGCUCUCAGCGUGAAUCAUGUUCCAUCAAUGAAACACACACACAUGUGCAAUAUGGAAGAUGAGUGAAAUCCAGGCUAUCUUCCUGAAGCUACUGUUCCUGGCAAGUGUAGCUGUGGGGACUGAGUUUUGGGCAGCAGCAAAUAACUCCCAGCUUCCAUGUGCUUGAGAGUCAGUUGCUGGGAUGCCAGCAGCUGCAUCCUCAGUCUAAGAUUGCAGCCAAUGAUGAUGUUUUCAUGAAUCCACCGUUCACGUGGCAGCCUCCUGGAGCUCAGACUGAUGCCUGCUCCUCCAGCCUUCCAAUACCUUUGCAAACACCUGAAUUCCACAUUAAUCUCUCUCUGUUUAGAAUACCCAGAGUGGCUUGUGUUUCCUGGGCUGAACCCUGCCUGGAGAGCUGUCCCUGCAAGCUGAACUAACAGAAGAUGAAGAAUGAGGUCUCCCUGAAAUGCCCACCAUAAGACUGCCAGAUAUGGGACUGCUGGAUGACACUCUGGCUACCCCACUGAGUUUUAUGAAAACAUAACAGAAUAAAGACACUUACUUGUCAACUCAGUUACAAGCUAUUGAGGCACUCCAGAGUGACAGCAUGUGAUCCCCCUGACACAAGAAACAGGCCCAGAUAACACACCGUUCAGACCA